rnacentral:misc_RNA from 1 species
CAGCCUCUAGGGCAGUCAUGUCCCUAAUCUUUGAUAGCUCUUGAUCAACCUGGGAUUUAGUCAGGAUUUUGGUGUCACUCUUCACUGAUUUUGAAGAAUCCUUCUGUUUUCCCUCUACAAGUAAGUGGAGAGAGUUUCUUCUUCCUUCAGAAACUGCUGGACUAGGUGCAAUCCUGUACUUGUGCUUUACCUUGACCACUUUUCCAUUUGCAGUCAGAAGCUUUAAUUU